rnacentral:sRNA from 1 species
UCGCAGAAACUUUAGAAGAUAGCGUAGA